rnacentral:rRNA from 1 species
CCUGAACGCUGGCGGCGUGGUUAAGACAUGCAAGUCGCACGGUGUAGCAAUACACAGUGGCGAACGGGUGAGUAAUGAAUCGCUAAUGUACCCCGGACUCUGGGAUAGCUAGCCGAAAGGUUAGGUAAUACCAGAUGACAUAUUCCUACCGCAUGGUUGGGAAUCUCAAAGGUCCGCCGGUCUGGGAGCAGGCGAUUCCGUAUCAGCUAGUUGGUGAGGUAACGGCNCACCAAGGCGACGACGCGUAGCCGGACUGAGAGGUUGGCCGGCCACAUCGGGACUGAGACACUGCCCGGACUCCGUACGGGGGCUGCAGUAACGAAUCUUCCCCAAUGCACGAAAGUGUGAGGGAGCGACGCCGCGUGUGGG